CAGUUAAAAAGCUCGUAGUUGGAUUUCGGAGUGGGCCAGUUGGUCCGCCGCAAGGUGUGUUACUGACUGGUUUGCUCUUCUUCGCAAAGACUGCGUGUGCUCUUCAGUGAGUGUGCGUAGGAUUUACGACGUUUACUUUGAAAAAAUUAGAGUGUUCAAAGCAGGCUAUUGCUUGAAUACAUGAGCAUGGAAUAAUGGAAUAGGACUUUGGUCCCAUUUUGUUGGUUUCUAGGGCCGAAGUAAUGAUUAAGAGGGACAAUUGGGGGCAUCCGUAUUUCGUUGUCAGAGGUGAAAUUCUUGGAUUUACGAAAGACGAACAACUGCGAAAGCACUUGCCAAGAGUGUUUUCAUUAAUCAAGAACGAAAGUUAGAGGAUCGAAGACGAUCAGAUACCGUCCUAGUUCUAACCAUAAACGAUGUCGACUAGGGAUCAGCGGGCGUUGUCGUACGACCCCGUUGGCACCUUACGGGAAACCAAAGUUUCUGGAUUCCGGGGGAAGUAUGGUUGCAAAGCUGAAACUUAAAGGAAUUGACGGAAGGGCACCACCAGGAGUGGAGCCUGUGGCUCAAUUUGACUCAACACGGGAAAACUUACCAGGUCCAGACAUAGUAAGGAUUGA
rnacentral:rRNA from 1 species